rnacentral:lncRNA from 1 species
UUCAGCUCCUAUUGCCUUGGAUUCUGACCUGGGCAAGCCAUGAGGACCCAAAUCAUUCAAAAACCUCCCUCAGAAGGGCUUCAGACUUGUCCUGAAACUAUACCAUGGCUCUUCUGGGUCUCCAGCUUGCCAACUGCAGAUCUUGAGACUUCUCAACCUCCAUAAUCAGAUGGCGUGAAGACCACGAAAGUCCCCAGUGUGUGAUUUGGAAUGUGCUUGCACUUUGCUACCUAAAACCUUUCUUGUCUUAUAAUCGAGAAAAAGAACAUAGAAGUCAUGAAACAUAAUCCAGCUGGUUUCUUAAAGAGUUAAUUAUAAGAAUGUGAAGCAUCAGGUCAUGAAAGCAAUAUGCAACCUAAGGCCCAAAGCAAUAAUAUUUCAUUUAAAAAUUUGUGUUGAUUAAGGCCAGGCGCAGCGGCUCACUCCUGUAAUCCCAGUACUUUGGGAGGCCAAGGCAAGUGGAUCGAUUGAGCCCAGAAGUUUGAGACCAGCUUGGGCAACAUGGCAAAACCUCGCCACUAUAAAAAAUACAAAAAUUAGCUGGGCAUGAUGCCAUGCACCUACCUGUAGGUCCAGCUACUCAGGAGGCUGAGGCUGCAGUGAGCCAUGAUCGCGCCACUGCACUCCAAUGACUGUCCCCGCCACAAAAAAAAAUGUUGUGGUAAUAAUGUUUUUACAAAACUAAUUUACAGCAGGUUAAACCAUGCGAUAUCACGUGAUAAAGGAGAAAACUAAAAAUUUGUCUUUAUAUGCUAUGAUUAUUAAAGAUUUUACAAAUUCACUUUGUAAUACAAGUCAAGUAAAAAA